GGGAGGGGCGGGCGCGGGGGGAGGGGCGGGAGCGGCCCAAGGGGGGCCCCGAGGAGAAGAAAAAAGACUCAGAGGUGCUGAAACAGCUGAGGGCGGAGCUCAAGAAGGCGCAGGAGAACCAGAAGGAGAUGAAGAACUGCUGCUGGACAUGUACAAAUCAGCGCCCAAGGAGCAGCGCGACAAGGUGACGCUGAUGGCCGCCGAGAGGAAGAGCAAGGCGAGGUAAUUAGAGCUGCGGGGGCGCUGGCGGGAGCUGGAGGAGCGCGA